UGCCAGCCGCCGCGGUAAUACGUAUGUCUCGAGCGUUACCCGGAAUCACUGGGUGUAAAGGGUUCGUAGGCGGACUUGUAAGUCAGAUAUUAAAGACCGGAGCUCAACUCCGUGUUUGUGUUUGAAACUGCGAGUCUAGAAUUAGGGAGAGGUAAGCGGAAUUCUAAGUGUAGGGGUGCAAUCCGUAGAUACUUAGAGGAACACCAAAAGCGAAGGCAGCUUACUGGAACUAUAUUGACGCUGAGGAACGAAAGCGUGGGGAGCGAAAAGGAUUAGAUA
rnacentral:rRNA from 1 species